rnacentral:lncRNA from 1 species
CGACGUCAUGGGCUUGAUCCACAGGUAACGAGGAGCUGGAACUGAGUCCGUGAGAGGGUCGGCCCUCCCUCCAUAUCCACGGGCGCCCGUCCAGGGACCCACCUAACGCUGGUCAAAAAUAUCAGGAAAAGAAUCGCAUCUGUACUGAGCGCGUGCAGACUUUGUUUUUUGUCAUUAUUCCCUAACAACCCAGCGUAACAGGGAUCUACCAGCACGCACACGGCACUGGGAAUGACACAACCCAGGAUGACUUAACGAAUAGCGGCGGGAACUCGUAGGUCGUGUGCCAACACUAUAUCCAUUAAUCCAAGGGACUUGAGCAUCGAUGGAUUCCAGCAUCUCGAGCCUGUCCACCCGGCCACAGACGGUGACUGUGUGUGUGUUAAAGUGUCCUUUGGCAACUUCAGUAAGAAUCUGGAGGAGCGGUCUUCACUUCGCCAUCUAUGAGAUCAGUCUCGGUCCAGAUGUAACUCGGAUAAAUGACGUGUGCACCGUGACGCCUACGAGAAGCCCAGAGCUGACUCAAAGGCUGUGGAGAGAAAUACGCACCUGUCCUCGGGGAGGGAGGGCCCGGUGUGCAGGGUCACGGGAACACGCCAACCCACUCCGCCGUCUCUCCACUCGGCGGUGGUGCCUCAUCUGCAAGACUUCACUGAAGUGCCCUUCACUAGACGUGGGGAUGGCAAACCAGACCCCGUGACCCCUGUUCUAUCACAUUCUAGAAGGAGAAGGCACAUGGACAAACUAAGAGCUAGACCUUGUCAGGUAUGGUUACUUCAGGUUGAUGGGGUGGGAAGAUCUCCGUUGUUUUAAGUGUAAACUGAACGACUAGAAGAUUCCAGGCACACGAUGAUUUGAGAAACAGCCUUCCAGGAAGAAGGGGCUGCUCGUGCAAAGGGCCUGAGGUGGGAAUGAGUCUGGUGUGUUUUAGGAUUUAAGGUCAGUGGGGCUGGGGUGUGGGGAGCAAGAAAUGGGUGUCAGGGAUGUUGACAGGAGCCUGUUGAGAAACCUGGUUAUUGUGGGCCUGCAGACAAUGCAGCAUCGGGGAAUCUGUACAAAAAAGCAAUUUACCUCCAGUUAGCAGACCCACAAGCAAAGAAAGCUUUGGCCAUGUUGUCACAGAGUCAAAGGAAUAUGAACUCACACGUCUGAAGUUGUAACGGACUGUCCAGGGCUUGUGUUUCAUGCUUUAUGGUUGCCUGCUUUAGCCAACGUCAGCCAACCCCUGCAGGUCUCACAGGCUUAGAUUCUAGGACUUCUGCUCUUCUUAAGUGCUUUGCUGCAAAUGCCAACACCAAUUAAUAGUUCUACAGCCACAAUUAAUAAUCCUACGUGCGUUAUAAAGAAUGACAGUUUCUUUGCGCCAACACCACACAAACGCUUUCAUGGUGUGUACGCACUUGUACGCACCGAGCAUGACUGGAAUGUCUUCCCCAAGGACUUGAAGUUUAACUCAUAAUGACCUGAGAGAGAAAAUACGCCUUAUUUGGGGAAGUUCUGUUUGAUCUAGCUGUGGAAUCCAGACAGAUGGAGCGUGUGUUUAUUAACCAGCCUCCACAGAAAUGCUUGGCCCUUGGAGAGAUGUCAGAGCUGUACGUUUCUUGCUGCAGGUGCUCAACCAUCCCGGUGAGCUAGACCUCCAGACAGAAGCAAGAUUGGGUAGGAUCGGCCAUGAGCAAGGGCUUCGGUCACAAGGGCUCUGUUCCCCCUCUGUGGGCUUGCCAAUUGCAGAACUGGGAUGCCACCAAAAUCUCUGUUGCUGAUCAUCUGUCCAUAAAAACCCACGUCCUGGGCUGGGGAUGUAGCUCAGUUGGCAGGGUGCUUGCCUCUCAUGCACAAGGCCCUGGGUUCGAUCCCCAGCACCACCAAAAAGAAAGGAAGAAAGAAAAGCUCAUGUCCCUUUCCUCUAUUCCAGUAAGCCUUCUUCCAAGAAUCCCUUUUAAAUUUUCCCACCUUAAAGUGAUCAUUUCCUUCAGUAUUUUUAAGAAGAUAUUAUUCAGAUAAUAUUGAUAUUUGAUAUAUUCAAAUAAUACUGAUACUUAAAAAUAUCAAAUGUAACACCUACAGGAAUAAGAGUCUAUAAUUGGAGUCCUGGACCCAACACUCAGAGCAGGAAAAACUCACCCAUAACUUGCCCCUACGUCAAACACUUGGCAAAGACGGUUCUGAGCCUUCUCCACUCACUCCCCUGAACCCAGAGGUAACUACAAGUUUAAAUUUUGUGUUUAUCAUGCCAUUGCUUUUUUUUAAGUUGUGUGAUUUCUUUCCAAAUGUACUUUUUAAAUUAUUAUUAUUGUUUUUUUUACAUAGUAAAUAAACUUUAUUUGUCUGUUCCUCCAAGAUGACACUGCCAGUCACAGAUUCGUGUACAAUACCAUUAUGUAUUGACUAUUUACAAUUUACAGUAGUAUUUUUUCCUCUGAAAAAUAUAAGUACAAAAGCUAAGUAAACAAUGA